AUUGAACGCUGGCGGUAUGCUUAAGACAUGCAAGUCGUGCGGUAGAAGGCUUCGGCCUUUGAGAGCGGCGGACGGGUGAGUAACACGUGGGAAUCUGCCUAUUAGUGGGGGACAGCCCAGCGAAAGCUGGAUUAAUACCGCAUACGCCCUACGGGGAAAGGCAGCAAUGCGCUAAUAGAUGAGCCCGCGUAAGAUUAGCUAGUUGGUAAGGUAAAGGCUUACCAAGGCGACGAUCUUUAGCUGGUCUGAGAGGAUGGCCAGCCACAUCGGGACUGAGACACGGCCCGGACUCCUACGGGAGGCAGCAGUCGGGAAUAUUGGACAAUGGGCGCAAGCCUGAUCCAGCAAUACCGCGUGUGUGAAGAAGGCCUGCGGGUUGUAAAGCACUUUCAGUUGGGAAGAUAAUGACGUUACCAACAGAAGAAGCACCGGCUAACUCCGUG
rnacentral:rRNA from 1 species